rnacentral:pre_miRNA from 1 species
UUACCGAAACCCGUAGAUCCGAACUUGUGCUGAAUUGAUAAGUGUUACAAGUACGGACAUAUGGGGAUCCGUUGA